rnacentral:ncRNA from 1 species
AAUACUCUGGAGAGUCCCCGUAAGUGGGGCGCCGAAGGUGUACGGCCUGUCCAAUUUUUCGUUGAAAAAGUUGGACAGGCCAAUCUCUCAGGCAAAAGGACAGAGCAU